GAGUUUGAUCCUGGCUCAGAUUGAACGCUGGCGGCAGGCCUAACACAUGCAAGUCGAGCGGAUGAGUGGAGCUUGCUCCAUGAUUCAGCGGCGGACGGGUGAGUAAUGCCUAGGAAUCUGCCUGGUAGUGGGGGACAACGUUUCGAAAGGAACGCUAAUACCGCAUACGUCCUACGGGAGAAAGUGGGGGAUCUUCGGACCUCACGCUAUCAGAUGAGCCUAGGUCGGAUUAGCUAGUUGGUGAGGUAAAGGCUCACCAAGGCGACGAUCCGUAACUGGUCUGAGAGGAUGAUCAGUCACACUGGAACUGAGACACGGUCCAGACUCCUACGGGAGGCAGCAGUGGGGAAUAUUGGACAAUGGGCGAAAGCCUGAUCCAGCCAUGCCGCGUGUGUGAAGAAGGUCUUCGGAUUGUAAAGCACUUUAAGUUGGGAGGAAGGGCAGUAAGUUAAUACCUUGCUGUUUUGACGUUACCGACAGAAUAAGCACCGGCUAACUUCGUGCCAGCAGCCGCGGUAAUACGAAGGGUGCAAGCGUUAAUCGGAAUUACUGGGCGUAAAGCGCGCGUAGGUGGUUCGUUAAGUUGGAUGUGAAAGCCCCGGGCUCAACCUGGGAACUGCAUCCAAAACUGGCGAGCUAGAGUAUGGCAGAGGGUGGUGGAAUUUCCUGUGUAGCGGUGAAAUGCGUAGAUAUAGGAAGGAACACCAGUGGCGAAGGCGACCACCUGGGCUAAUACUGACACUGAGGUGCGAAAGCGUGNGGAGCAAACAGGAUUAGACACCCUGGUAGUCCACGCCGU
rnacentral:rRNA from 1 species